AUCCUUUGGUAGUUCGUAAGCGUGAAUGACUGGGUAUUCACGCACAUGUGUGAGAUGUGCCACCCUGGCAGGUGCAGUGGCUCCCACCUGUAA
rnacentral:snoRNA from 1 species